AUUGAACGCUGGCGGCAGGCCUAACACAUGCAAGUCGAGCGGAGCGACGGACGGGUGAGUAAUUCCUAGGAAUCUGCCUGGUUGUGGGGGAUAACGUCCGGAACCGGGCGCUAAUACCGACUACUAUCCAAUGACCCUAGGUCGGCUUGGCUAGUUGGUGGGGUAACUGCCUACCAAGGCGACGAUCCGUAACUGGUCUGAGAGGAUGAUCAGUCACACUGGAACUGAGACACGGUCCAGACUCCUACGGGAGGCAGCAGUGGGGAAUAUUGGACAAUGGGCGAAAGCCUGAUCCAGCCAUGCCGCGUGUGUGAAGAAGGUCUUCGGAGUGUAAAGCACUUUAAGUUGGGAGGCGUUACCAACAGAAGAAGCACCGGCUAACUUCGUGCCAGCAGCCGCGGUAAUAC
rnacentral:rRNA from 1 species